rnacentral:misc_RNA from 1 species
GAUGAAGAACGCAGCGAAAUGCGAUAAGUAAUGUGAAUUGCAGAAUUCAGUGAAUCAUCGAAUCUUUGAACGCACAUUGCGCCCGCCAGUAUUCUGGCGGGCAUGCCUGUUCGAGCGUCAUUUCAACCAUCAAGCCCUGCUUGCGUUGGGGUCCUGCGGCUGCCCGCAGGCCCUGAAAACCAGUGGCGGGCUCGCUAGUCACACCGAGCGCAGUAAUACAACUCGCUUUGGGCGUGCGGCGGGUUCUUGCCGUUAAACACCCCCUUUUUACCAAGGUUGACCUCGGAUCAGGUAGGAAUACCCGCUGAACUUAAGCAUAUCAAUAAGCGGAGGA